GUUUGUUAUCCUGAGAGUGAGUUUAUUUUAAAACUUACUUUGGGUGUGCUCUUGUUCUCUUGAAUUCUCACUUUCUGCUUUGCAGCGAUGUUUGCCCAGGCUGGCAUCAUGAUAUUGAACUUUUCAAUCUUCACAACUACAAGAAAUGAACUUCUUCCAUGUGAAAUCUGCUACAAUGAUUGCUUUACCUAGAACUGAGUUAUAGAUCCUAAAAGAACAUAACAUAAAAGGGAAUUUCAGAAGUUCUUUAUAUCUUCUUAUUAAAAAGCUUCUGCACAGCAAGAGAAGCCACCCACAGUAUGAAAUCAGUAUGGAGAUACCUCAAGGAACUAAGACUGGAAAUCCCAUUUAUCCCACCUAUUGCCCUGUUGUGUAUCUUCCCCAAAGAAUUAAAAGAAUCAUAACAAACUGAUAUAUGUGCACCCAUGUUUAUAGCAGCACAAUUUGUAAUAUCUAAAACGUGGAAGCAGCCCUAUUGCCCAUCAACUGGAGGCUGAAUUAAGAAAACAUACUUUUUAAAAACAUGGAAUACUACUCAGACAUAAAAAAUGAGAAAUUAGAGACUUCUAUACCUAAUGGAUGCACAUUGAGGAGAUACUCUUAAGUGAAAUAAAUCU
rnacentral:lncRNA from 1 species